UACGUAGGGUGCAAGCGUUAAUCGGAAUUACUGGGCGUAAAGCGUGCGCAGGCGGUUUUGUAAGUCUGACGUGAAAUCCCCGGGCUUAACCUGGGAAUGGCAUUGGUGACUGCACGGCUAGAGUGUGUCAGAGGGGGGGUAGAAUUCCACGUGUAGCAGUGAAAUGCGUAGAGAUGUGGAGGAAUACCGAUGGCGAAGGCAGCCCCCUGGGAUAACACUGAACGC
rnacentral:rRNA from 1 species